GUGUAAAACAUACAAUGCCAGCCAUUGUACAUAUAGCGUUUGACGCAUGCGCAGAGAGAGCAGGUAUCAUGAUAUACCUUUCUCUCUCGCACCACUGAUCUCAUUAAAGUGGAUAUGGCAUAGGACGAAAUAAGUGUGACCAAUUGAAGGUUGUAGUCUCUGUACACAAUAUGGCGGUGUAUACGAAUACGAACACAGUUUACUGUGACAAUGAUACGAAAUUCCACGUGUAAUUAAUUAUCUAUAGACGUAGAUGUGUAUCAGUUUUAUCCAAAAUAUUACUUUUUUUAUAAUAAAAAUAGUAAAAUAGUAAAAUAGUGAGAUUCCAAAAUUAAAAAAUGUGUUUAUUGUGGAAAAGGAAGUGAAAAUAAACAACAAACGUUUCAUAGCUGCAAGUAUGGAUUACUACAACACAAUUAAGGACACGAGGACAAAAUAAGCUAUAACAAUACCCUUUAAACUUAUUUAUAAGUUUAGUAGUAGUAGUAUUAUUUAUUAGUAAAAUUAUUUAACAAGAUGGUCAUAAAUAAAAAUUUACGAUUUUUAGAC